UACGUAGGGGGCAAGCGUUGUCCGGAUUCAUUGGGCGUAAAGAGCGUGUAGGCGGCCAGGUAGGUCGGUUGUGAAAACUGGAGGCUCAACCUUCAGACGUCGACCUAGACCAUCUGGCUAGAGUCCGGGAGAGGAGAGUGGAAUUCCUGGUGUAGCGGUGAAAUGCGCAGAUAUCAGGAAGAACACCCGUGGCGAAAGCGGCUCUCUGGAACGGUACUGACGCUGAGACGCGAAAGCGUGGGGAGCGAACAGG
rnacentral:rRNA from 1 species